UACGGGGGGGGCAAGCGUUGUUCGGAAUUACUGGGCGUAAAGGGCUCGUAGGCGGCCAACUAAGUCAGACGUGAAAUCCCUCGGCUUAACCGGGGAACUGCGUCUGAUACUGGAUGGCUUGAGUUUGGGAGAGGGAUGCGGAAUUCCAGGUGUAGCGGUGAAAUGCGUAGAUAUCAGGAGGAACACCAGUGGCGAAGGCGACUUCCUGGCCUGUUCUUGACGCUGAGGCGCGAAAGCUAGGGUAGCAAACGGG
rnacentral:rRNA from 1 species